rnacentral:rRNA from 1 species
CCUACGGGUGGCAGCAGUGGGGAAUAUUGGGCAAUGGGCGCAAGCCUGACCCAGCAACGCCGCGUGAAGGAAGAAGGCUCUCGGGUUGUAAACUUCUUUUCUCAGGGACGAAGAAAGUGACGGUACCUGAGGAAUAAACCACGGCUAACUACGUGCCAGCAGCCGCGGUAAUACGGAGGUGGCAAGCGUUAUCCGGAUUUAUUGGGUGUAAAGGGCGUGUAGGCGGGAGCGCAAGUCAGAUGGGAAAACUCAGGGCUCAACCCUGAGCCUGCAUUUGAAACUGGGUUUCUUGAGUGCUGGAGAGGCAAUCGGAAUUCGGGGUGUAGCGGUGAAAUGCGUAGAUAUACGGAAGAACACCGAUUGCGAAGGCAGAUUACUGGACAGUAACUGACGCUGAGGCGCGAAAGCGUGGGGAGCGAACAGGAUUAGAUACCCUUGUAGUC